rnacentral:lncRNA from 10 species
CUGCCUCCCAGGCUCAAGGGGUUUUCCCACCUCACCCUCCCCAGUAGCUGGGACUACAGGUGCACACCACUAUGCCUGGCUAAUGUGUUUGUUUUUUUUUUUUUUGUUUUGUUUUGUUUUUUUUUUUUUUUUUUUUUUUUGUAGAGACAGGGGUUUCACCAUGUUGGUCAGGCUGGUCUCAAACUCUUGACCUCGUGAUCUGCCUGCCUCGGACUCCCAAAAUCCUGG